rnacentral:rRNA from 1 species
CCUGCGGGACUCGAACGAUCGAACGGGGAGAUUCAUUCAGCGUGUCUUAGGGGGUCCGCGUCGGGCCGUCAGUCGGCUGCGGCGGGCGUUUCGGCGUUCCGUUCAACGCGGUCGGCUCGGUCCGUUCGCGCAUCCGGCCCCCGAAGUGCGUGCACUUCUCCCUNAGUACAACACCGCGACCCGUCGGUGUGGCGGUCUACCGCGUCCGGCAGAGAGUCCCGGCGCUCGACUUCGGUCGGGCUCCGGAAUCUGCUCGGCGUCGCGGCCGCCCGYCCGACGGUAGAGAACGAGGAUCGGGUUCGGCGCAUCGCGCGUCCGAAUCGGGGAGCGGCGUCCUGCGUUUCGGGCUCCGGCGUUUCGGCGUCGCAGUCCCGGGCGUACAGUCCUCUGGGCAAAGGGGCGUCGUCGCUUCGAUCUCCGWACCGGACCCGUCCCGGUCAGCGGUGGUUACGUUUCGGGAACUCACAGGACCCGUCUUGAAACACGGACCAAGGAGUCUAGCAUGCGCGCGAGUCAUAGGGAAGUAAUAAACCCUGAGGCGCAAUGAAAGUGAAAGGCCUCACGGCCGAAGGGACGAUGGCGAACGGCUCGCCGUUCCGGCCCGCAGU